AUUGUCUAUGAUGAUGUCUUAUCUUUGAGAUGCACAAUGAAACUAUUUCUACAUGCACUACCAUCUGAGACAAU